AUCCUUUUGUAGUUCAUAAGUGUGACGAUUGGAUUUUCACGCUCAUGUGAGAAAUGUGCCUUUCUUAAACCUUGUUAUGACACUGGCACGUUACCUAUCUGAUG